rnacentral:rRNA from 1 species
GACGAACGCUGGCGGCGUGCCUAACACAUGCAAGUCGAACGGAAAGACCCUGCUUUUGUUGCGUUCUCGUUUGGCGAACGGGUGAGUAAAACGCGAGUAACCUGCCCCUGACUUUGGGAUAACUUCAGGAAAAUGGGGCUAAUAUCGGAUAUGAGCUCCUGAUGCAUGGUGGGGGUAGGAAAGAUUCGGCGGUUGGGGAUGGACUCGCGGGUUAUCAGCUUGUUGGUGGGGUAGUGGAUUACCAAGCCUUUGACGGCUAGCCGGCAUGGGAGGGUGACCGGCGACAUGAGGACUGAGGUACGGCCCAGAAGCCUACGGGAGGCAGCAGUGGGGAAUAUUGCACAAUGAGCGGAAGUCUGAGACAGCAACGUCGCGUGCGGGAUGACGGCCUUCGAGUUGAAAACCGCUGUGGCCUGUGACGAAGAGUGAGUGACGGUAAUGGGUAAAGAAGCACCGGCUAACUACGUA